UACGGAGGGGGCUAGCGUUGUCCGAAGUUACUGGGCGUAAAGCGCACGUAGGCGGGUCGUUAAGUCAGGGGUGAAAUCCCGGAGCUCAACUCCGGAACUGCCUUUGAGACUGCAUCGCUUGAAUCCAGGAGAGGUGAGUGGAAUUCCGAGCGUAGAGGUGAAAUUCGUAGAUAUUCGGAAGAACACCAGUGGCGAAGGCGGCUCACUGGACUGGUAUUGACGCUGAGGCACGAAAGCGUGGGGAGCAAACAGG
rnacentral:rRNA from 1 species